rnacentral:rRNA from 1 species
ACGAUAAAGAGGGUGAGAGACCCUCUCGCCGAAAGACCAAGGGUUCCUGCUUAAAGUUAAUCUGAGCAGGGUUAGCCGGCCCCUAAGACGAGGCGGACACGCGUAGUCGAUGGGAACCACGUUAAUAUUCGUGGGCCUGGUGGUAGUGACGGAUUGCACAAGUUGUUCUGGUUUAUUGGAUUAUCAGGGCAGCGGAGCGGUUCCAGGAAAUAGCUCCACCGUAUAGACCGUACCCGAAACCGACACAGGUGGUC